ensembl:lncRNA
CCUUUGUAAUCAUUGACAUUUUCAUAAGUAACUAAUUUAAUUACAAUUUUUCCCCCUAGUAACUGUAACAGAUUACAGUUACAUUUAUUUUGCAAUUAAAUUACGUAAUUUAGUUACAUGUAAACAAUAUGUUAUCAAGUGUCAGGACAAGUUUAUAAUUUUAUGUACGAUGUAAUCGCUGUGUAAUGUGUUUGAUGGGCGCGCGCGUUGAACAGUCGACGCGCAUUUAAACUGGAGUGGAGGGAGUUACCAUUUAAACGGUGCGGCAACACAGCUGACAAGUAGCAAAUCUCUCCGUCUCUCACUGUUGUUUUUACUGCUUUCAGGUAAGUUUAGUCCCUAUAAUUACACAAAUAAUACAUACAACUUUUCCUGACACUUUCUUACAUGUAAUUGACACGCUUCUGUUGAAUAAUUACUUUACAGAAAUGGUUCAUUGUCAUGGGAAUAAGUCCGUUAGCAUCACAACCGUGAGCUAACUAUAGAGGCUAACUAUAAGAGGUUCGCCAUGAUAAUGCCAUGAAAAGGCAACUGCUGGACACCUGGGACAGGCCAUCAAUUCCAAGUUGGCGUCAAUUCCCUGUUAGAGUUUAGAGUUGUCUAAUAGAGAGGGUGAAGGAAGAACAUCCAAACCCUGCCCCUGCUUCCUUCAAGA